rnacentral:rRNA from 1 species
AGAACGAACGCUGGCGGCAGGCUUAACACAUGCAAGUCGAACGCACCGCAAGGUGAGUGGCAGACGGGUGAGUAACGCGUGGGAACGUACCCUUCAGUUCGGAAUAACCCAGGGAAACUUGGGCUAAUACCGGAUACGUCCGUAAGGAGAAAGAUUUAUCGCUGAAGGAUCGGCCCGCGUCGGAUUAGCUAGUUGGUGGGGUAAAGGCCUACCAAGGCGACGAUCCGUAGCUGGUCUGAGAGGAUGAUCAGCCACACUGGGACUGAGACACGGCCCAGACUCCUACGGGAGGCAGCAGUGGGGAAUAUUGGACAAUGGGCGAAAGCCUGAUCCAGCCAUGCCGCGUGAGUGAAGAAGGCCUUAGGGUUGUAAAGCUCUUUCAGCGGGGACGAUAAUGACGGUACCCGCAGAAGAAGCCCGGCUAACUUCGUGCCAGCAGCCGC